GCCGAAGUGGUGGAAUGGCAGACACGCUAGGUUCAGGACCUAGUGGGCGAAAGCCUGUGCGGGUUCGACUCCCGCCUUCGGCACCA
rnacentral:tRNA from 1 species